GCCGUAAAACUGUGUUUGUCGCCACUUCCAGUAGCUCUUAAACUGCGCCCACUGCACUUUUUGUUAGCAUAUGUUUUUGUUCGGUCAGUUUUUAGCACUUUUCCUCCACAUGGAUAGAAAAUUAAACGCUUUAUAGGUCACUGGGCUACACAAACACUGCACUUGACCUAUUUUUGGAGGGACUCACAAAGCCUUUUUCAACUGUUAGCCGGCAAUUGUUGAAUAUCUCCGCUGAUUUGAACUGACAAUUUGGAACUCACGUUACAAAUUGAACAUGCGUUCUAUUAUAACACGUCUCCGCUCCUCGAAAUUAAUCACGAAAAUAGCCAAAGUGCGGAAUGCGUCGUGCGUCGUCCGAUCGUCUGAAGAAACUGAAGAGAUCUCUCGCAGCGUCAGCAAGAUCGAUCGAUGUGGAUGUGGGCGAGUUUGGGGUGAUGGGGGAUCCGAGUAUCUGGGGGCUGGUUUUGCCUUUUCGGGCUGUCGCCACUGCCGGCAGAAAAUAAAUCAAAUCGAACCCAAGUCCGACACCGGGUUUCGUUGACUUUGUUUAAAGUAUUUCGCUUUUUCUCCAGCAUCUUCACUGCAGUGUCAAAACCAGUUUGAAUUAUACCGAAAAGCCAAAAAGGCACAACUAAUGCAUGAAAUCGGUAGUUCGUCAGAUUGAAAAUAAACGAUUUACUGAUUAGUUCCUCACAGGCGAUAAGUGCAUUAAAUACAGCCUGUUGUUGACUCAUAAAAAGAAUUUAGUAUGCAACUGAGCCACCAUGAGUAUAUUUCUCAUUCUUGCCUUAUUUCUCCUGCUCGCAUCAGAUAAAUCAGAAAGUAAACCGCGAUAUAUAAAUUGCAGGAAAGCUGGAAAGGUGGGACGCUGCAUUUUGAAAGGAUCUCCAUGUCCUGGCGUCACCCAUUUAAGUCGCGUUUGCAAUUUGGUAGCCGUUUGCUGUAUGCCUUAUCCAGAAAAUACUGAGACAAUAUUAAUUAAAAAACAUUAUUAAGCACAUUAAGCACUUCAAAUUUUUGUAAUUGUUCUUUAUUACUUAGCUUUAUAAGAAAUGAAUAUGGUUGCAAUAAGCAGUAUUCUUAGAGUGCAAGCUACAGCAUAAUAUCAAAUCAUUAAAACAUUAAAUAUAAAUAAAUAUACAUAUGUAAAAUUAA